rnacentral:rRNA from 1 species
UGGGGAAUUUUGGACAAUGGGCGCAAGCCUGAUCCAGCCAUGCCGCGUGCAGGAUGAAGGCCCUCGGGUUGUAAACUGCUUUUGUACGGAACGAAAAGCCUCUUUCUAAUAAAGAGGGGUGAUGACGGUACCGUAAGAAUAAGCACCGGCUAACUACGUGCCAGCAGCCGCGGUAAUACGUAGGGUGCGAGCGUUAAUCGGAAUUACUGGGCGUAAAGCGUGCGCAGGCGGUCUUGCAAGACAGAUGUGAAAUCCCCGGGCUCAACCUGGGAACUGCAUUUGUGACUGCAAGGCUAGAGUGCGUCAGAGGGAGGUGGAAUUCCGCGUGUAGCAGUGAAAUGCGUAGAGAUGCGGAGGAACACCGAUGGCGAAGGCAGCCUCCUGGGAUGACACUGACGCUCAUGCACGAAAGCGUGGGGAGCAAACA